rnacentral:tmRNA from 2 species
GGGGAUGAUCGGUUUCGACAUCGCCUGAGUCUCUGCGAGAAGCGGGCCGAGGAUGCAGGGUUAUCUCGUUAACGAUCUCUGCAAAACCAAUAAGUGCCGAAUCCAAGCGCACUGACUUCGCCCUCGCUGCGUAAGCGAGCCCGAUAGUCCGUCAGACCGUGUGUGAUCCCGACACGGACCCUGGCGUCAUCUAGGGAUCUUGCUGUGUGACGGCGUCUGGACGUCACGCGGGACUUUUUCCAGACUGGGCUCGUCGACUUAGGUGUCUGUGACAAAGGUCGGAGCCGAGCAGAACGUCUCUACAGACUGCGCCCGGAGAAAACGCAGUAUCCCAGCGAUGGACGGGGGUUCGAUUCCCCCCAUCUCCACCA